GCGGCUUUAAGGACCAAACACUUGUGUGUCAGUUUGAAAUCUGCUGGAGGGAACAGCCAAGGUUUUUAAAGCAUUCAGACCAUUCAGUAAACAUUAUUAGGCCCCAAAGGUAAUUUAAAACCACAGCUGUUAAAACCAUAUGUGGGGUAUAUAUAUACUUCUUUUAAAUGUUGGUUUACAGUUCUGAGUUGCUCUGUUUCUUGAGGGUUGUCUUCACCAGGAAACCACCUUCGUUUUAAAAGGAAGGGACUGAUGGACUUCAAGUGACUGGGAUGCAAAAAAAAAGAGAAAGAAAACGAACCAAACCCUUAUCUGUUCUUUAAUUGAUGGCCUAGACUUUAAGUGGGUAACUGGAAGCGUGAUGGAAAGAGAACAAUCUCUUGAAUGAGACGCUGCACUCUGGCCUGUGGGUUACUGAGCUUAUAAAUGUUGCUUCAUUUUGGGUUCCUCAUUUCCAUUUACAGCCUUAUGGGGGAUUUAAUGGUGGCAGACAACCCAUCUGGAGAGGCCUACAAAACACAGGCUGUAAUCCUAAACCCAGUUUUAGGGAAUCAAGUCCCAUUGGGCACUAUAGGACUCACUGGAGGAGAGUGUUGCUUGCAACUCUCAUGGGUUGCAGCGACUGAGGAUGUAGUGUAUAUUGUGGUGGGGGUCAGACUGUGGAGACUGGGGUUCAAAUCCCUGCUCAGCCAUGGAGUUUACUUGGGCAAGUCAACCUCUGCUUAACCUAGAAAGGUAAUGGUAAAGGAUCCCUGACAGUUAAGUCCAGUUGCAGACAACUCUAGGGUUGUGGCACUCAUCUCACUUUACAGGCCGAGGGAGCCGGCGUUUGUCCACAGACAGUUUUUCCGGGGGGCCAACAUGACUAAGCCACUUCUGGUGCAACGGAACACAGAAACCAGAGCAGCGCGCGGAAACGCCGUUUACCUUCCCGCCGGAGCGGUACCUAUUUAUCUACUUGCACUUUGACAUGCUUUCGAACUGCUAGGUUGGCAGGAGCUGGGACCAAGCAACGGGAGCUCACCCCGUUGCGGGGAUUCGAACCGCCGACCUUCUGAUUGCCAAACCCAAGAGGCUCAGUGGUUUAGACCACAGCACCACCCACGUCCCCUGCUUAACCUACCUAACGGAAUUGUUGUGAUUUCCCCCCCUUUAAGUUUCCCAUGUUGCUAUAUGUCACCUAGGGCGAUUUUUCAUUAAAACCAGGCGACUGAUAAAGGGCAGCAAUAAAUACACAACAGCAGAAAAAAUGGCACAGGAGAGGAAAAAGAGGAAGGUGGAAACCAUUUUCAGCAUGCUCAAAUGGGGAAAUGAAGCUAGUGUGUGUCUUCUGAAUCAAGCAUGUGAUGGAUUAGAGAAGGGAAAGCCCACAGACACAUGACCCAAAUCACAUUCAGGCAUACGCUGAUGUAUGGGGUGGGAAUAGGCAGUGCCGGAUUUACGUGUAAGCUAACCAAGCUAUAGCUUAGGGGCCACUCUCUUGGGGGCCCCAAAAAAAUUUAAAAGGAAAAAAAAGUGGAUGUACAUUUCCAAAAUAGAAGAUAAAUAACAAAUAAAAUAAAACCUACAUAUAGCAACAGUGUUUUGUGUUGUGUAGGCUCCUAUGAUGUAGGUCAUGGGCCCCGCCUGCUAGCCUGCUCCCUAAAAUAUCACUGGUUUGCUCCUUUCUGUAUAUAGGGUGCCUCCAUUCUGCAUGGACUACUUGCAUGGCAACGUGUGCAAAUGGCUUGAGAUACCUAUUAGGUCCAUAAAUUACCAUAUAGCAUAUAUUCAGCAAACAAAACCAGGGACCAUUUCUUGUUGACAAAGGACAGCUGGUCAUAUAAAGGGCCCCAUUACCUUCAGUAGCUUAGGGCCUCAUCAGACCUAAAUCCAGCCCUGGGGAUAGGUGAUGUGAUAGUUAUCUUCAAUCAUUUGAAAGGUUGUCGCAUGGAAAAUGGAGCGAGCCUCUUGCUGCUCCAGAGGAUGGUACCCAAACCUACGGAUACAAGUUACAAGAAAGGAGAUUCUGACUAAACAUUAGGAAGAACGUUCUGGUGGUAAGAGCUGUUUAGCAGGGGAAACGGUCUCCCUUGGCAGGUGGUGGACUCUCCUUCCUUGAAGUUUGUUACAUUGAGGUUGGGAGGCCCUCUGUCAUGGAUUCUUUAGCUGUGAUUUCUGCAUUGGACAAGAUGACCCUUGGGAAUUGUAGCCCAAAACAUCAGGAAGGCCACCAGGUUGGGAGGAGGCUGACAUCGACACUUCAGUUUUCUGGAUCUGAUCAUGACACCCUUGAAGACCAGGAUUGCUCAGUCAGUAGAGCGUGAGAUUCUGAAUCUCAAGAUUGUGGGUUUGAGCCCCACGUUGGACAAAAUAUUCCUGCACUACAGGGGGUUGGACAAGAUAGAUAGAUAAAUAAAUAAAUGAAUACAUUUUUAUUUAUACCCCGCCCUUCCCAGUUCAGAAAACCAGGCUCAGGGUGGCUAACAACAAAUUUAAAACACUUAAUUGAUGCAACAAAAAAAAACAGCAUAAAAUACAGUAUAAAAUGUGAAUAACAAUAAAUUCAGAAUUCAAAAAUCAAUUUAAGGGGGGAAUCCAUCCAAUAAACAUUAGAUGAUCACCAGGGCUAGCUGGCUAGAUUAGUCCUAUUUGGGCCAGCGAGGAGACCAGGGGAGAAUUAGCUGUGGGAUCCCAGAGCGGGUAAUCUUCAUAAAAAGGAGAGGGGGAAGGAAGGAAGGGGAAUAAAAGAUCAGGCUAAGUUCAAAUUGAAAGCCGGGUGGAAUAGCUCUGUCUUACAGGCCCUGCGGAAGUUAAAUCCUGCAGAGCGCUGGUCUCAUGGGACAGAGCAUUCCACCAGGUCGGAGCCAUCACUGAGAAGGCCCUGGCCCUGGUGGCGGAUAAUCUGACUUCCUUAGAGCCUGGGACCUCUAAACUAUGAUUAUUCAUGGACCUUAAGGUCCUCUGCAGGGCAUACCAGGAGAGGCGGUCCCGUAAAUACGAGGGCCCUAAGCCACAAAGGGGUUUAAAGGUGAUCCACGUGGUCCCUCUCAACUAUGAUCCCAUUCUACGAUCUCAGUGCGUGGAAAGCAUUGUACGUGAAAUAACACAAAAAUACCUUCUGCAAUGGUAGAGCUAGAGGUGACCGGGACACUCAUGCGAAUUACCACUUGAUGCUCCAUCCGCAAUAUGUGAGCACCAGCAGUCUUUAGUCGAGAGACUGUUAGGGAUUGCUAAUAGUCCCCCAAGCUUCUGUGAUUACAUCCACAUAUACAAACAGCAGACCACAGUGUAAUCAUAGCUCUAAUUAAAGUUUUGGUUAGCGAACAUUUUCCAGGCUUGAAAUAUCUCCACCUGCCGCAGCUAUUGAGGAACAUGUGUAAAUCUCUGAAAAUGAGGUUGUUGUGCUUUUUGUUUUCUAAGUGCUUUUUGGCAUAGACAUUUUAUUGCGUAUGAAGUUUUAUUAGUAGCGGUAUAAUAAAGAUGUGGCUUGCAUGGGAAUGGGACCAGGUUUUCCUCAUUAAGAGAGUGCCCUUGUUAAUUUGCUGACAUCAUCAGCUCAGCCAUCAGUUUCCAUUUCCAUUCUGCAUUAAGGAACUUCGAUGGAGAGGCGAUGGGAGAGUCGGUGGCUGCUUUGCAUAUGGGCGGGGCCAGAGUGGCAGUCAAGGGCGGAGUCUAUAGAAAAGUGGUUGUUCAGUGUGGGACCUGUGUCUUCAUUUAAACCGAAGUUUAUUCCAUUGUUCCGGCAUUUCCCUGUCUGCAAAUUUCUGCAUUAAGUUUUGACCUUUCACACAACGGAAAAAAAUCUGCUUCUGAAAAACCAAUGGAAUGUAAGUCGUGUUUAGCGCUCAUUUUUGUGUCAUUUGACUCCAUAAAAAAUCCAUUUGCAGUCCCAUCUGCCAGAAGAUUAGGGGGGUAAAGUGAUGAAAUUUGAGUAAGUAUACCGGCAUAUGGAUCUUUCCCAAUGUUUUCAUGGGGGGGGGGGGGGACAGAAGCAUUCAUGUGCAGAAAGGGUAGGGCAGCAGCGAUGUUGUCCGAUAGUGUUUGUUGUCGCACCAUCCUACGCCUACUGGUGUGAAUGAAACUUAGCACAGCAUAGCUAAGUUGGUUAGAGCAUGGUGCUGAUUACACCAAGGUCGCAGGUUCGAACCCCAUAAGGACCAGCUGCAUAUUCCUGCAUUUCAGGACUAGAUGAGGCAAUUCCAACCGGUCGAUCACAAUCUACUGGUCAAUUGUGGGGUGUCCCUGGUCGGUUGUGGUUGAUCUUUGGAUCCUGAGAGCCAGCGCGGUGUGGUGGUUAAGAGUGGUGGACUUGUAAUCUGGUGAACCGGGUUCGCUUCUCCGCUCCUCCACAUGCAGCUGCUGGGUGACCUUGGGCCAGUCACACUUCUCUGAAGUCUCUCAGCCCCACUCACCUCACAGAGUGUUUGUUGUGGGGGAGGAAGGGAAAGGAGAAUGUUAGCCGCUUUGAGACUCCUUCGGGUAGUAAUAAAGCGGGAUAUCAAAUCCAAACUCUUCCUGUUCUUCUGAGCGAUCUCAAAAAAGAAGAAGAGCUCAACAACUCUGGUUCUUCCUCCCUAAUAAAAGUUGAAACAACUCCGGCUCCCUAAAAAAAGCUCAACAACUCAGUCCCCCAAUGACAAUGGGUAGAUCACUGCCAGUCUUUUAGUAGAGUAGAUCGCAGUCUCUUGGGAGUUGGACGUGCCUGGACUACAUGAUCUGCAGGCUUCCUUCCAACUCUGUGAUUCUGGGGUUAGUUGCUCUAUGCGGAUGUAUCGGUCAAAAAGCCACAGUUCCAUAACACAACAGGUAUUACAGUGCGCAAGGAACAUUAGAAAACAGGAGAGAAGCACUAGCAUUAUAACCAUGAAAACUAAUGCAAUGUUCCUCACAUCUGAAUGCACCUAGUGUCAGGAGUGGGGCAGGUGCAUUCCCAGCAACAUUUGGGGCAGUGAAAAUCUCCCAUUUCAUAACGUCAUUCAUGGCAAUGAAUGGAUGCCCAUUGCAAAAACAGUAUUAGGACAAGCUUGGACAUUUCAAAGUUGUCAUUAAUGUUUCUUUCAAGGGAUUGUCCCUAGUAAGUAUAUGAGAGAAUACAGGUUGCUCCUUUAUUUAGUUAUUAAAUUAUUAGUGUGUCAGCUGCUUCAGUGCCUUUUGAUUUUAUUUCUUUUUCCCCUCAAAUGUGAACAAUGUAAAGGAAGUACAUUCCGUUGUCGUUAAAUUUUUAUAAUUAUCCCAAUAAAAAUUUCUGCAUGGUUGACACCCAAUGUAAGUCAUAUUUACGUUCCUUCGUCUUGGUGGGUCUACUCUGAGUUUAAACUAAGUAUGCUUUAUUUUCCCCCACCCUCACAUAUUUCAGCUCAAGUACCUGUGCCGUACUGGAAUAAAUAAACAUGAGAUACUUUUUAAAGCUUUAUCUAUUAAACACAAACAAAAUAAGCAUGCAGAAUUAUAUUAUUCUCUUAGGCAUCAUAAUUUAUUUUUGGUACAAAUUACCAUAUGACAAUUAGCCUAAUUUGCAUAGGACAGUUGCCUUGCUAUUUCAUAAGUCAUUUUUAUACAUGAUAUCCAUUGUUUUGGCAUUCCUCUGCUUUUGUUCAUUGCUUUCCCAUAGUUUGGGGAAGUUCUCUGUAUUAGCCUAGCAGCCAUUCAGAGCCUCAUUCUCCAUGACUUUGUCUAAUCUCUGUUUAAAGCCAUCUAAAUUGAUGGCUGUUGUUGUUACAUUUGUACCCCCUCCAUCUGUCUGGGCUGUACCAACCACCGUAAGCAGCUUCCAACAUCUAUAAAACAUAAUAAAGCAUGACACAUUAAAAAUACAGGACUGCCUCCAGAUGUCUUCUAAAUGUUACAUUGUUAAUCAUCUCCUUCUGAUGAGAGGGUGUUCCACAGUGAGGGUGCCACUACCGAGAAGGCCCUCUGCCUGGUUCCCUGUAGCUUCACUUCUCGCAGUGAGGGAACCGCCAGAAGGCCCUCUCCUUGCUUCUCCUUUAUUUAAGAACAUAAGAGGAAGCUGGCUGCUGGAUCAUGCCCAUAGCCAAUCUAGUCCACUAUCCUGUUCUCACGGUGGCAUCUCAAGAUGCCUUCAGGAAGCCCGCAAGCAGGACCUGAGUGCAAGACCACUCUAACCCAUUUGUGACGUCCCCAUAUUCUGGUUCAAAUCCUGACAUCUCCAUUUAGAAGAGAGUCUCCUGUCCCAAACCCUGGAGAGCUGGUGGUGGUCAGGGAAGACAAUACUGAGCUAGAUGGCCAAAAUAUAGAAGUCAGUGUCUAGUGUUAUUAUCUUACCAAAUGGCACAGCAACAUGUUACACAGAUUAUAUUGUGAACGAGAAUAGGAUUUUAAUUCCCUCAGGUGGCGCAAAGGGUCAGUGCAGCUGGCUGUUAACCAGAAGGUUGGUGGUUUGAGCCCACUCAGGGACAGCUGUGGGCAGGAUUCGUGUGUUGCACAGGGUUGGACUAGAUGACCCUCGGGGUCCCUUCGAACUCCACAAUUCCUGUUGAUUCUAAUGUUUCGUCACUGAUACUCCUAAUGAUGCCCUUGCUUACCAUUGAAGGCUGAGCUGCCUAUUCCAAAAUAUAGUCAUAUAGUAUUAAUCCUAGGAAAUUCAGGUCUUCUGCAAAAUGAAAGGAGUGGCUGAUCUUUUAAUGCAACAAAUGGAAAGAAUGUCCCCCAAAUUCAACAGCUCCUGGUUGAACAGAGAGAUUCCAUUUUUAAAAGGAAUCUGACACACAGUUUUUCUGUUAAAAGAAAAAAUCCGUCCAUGAGAAUUCAUCUCCGUUCUAUACAAUGGAUUAGAAAUGAACCACCUUGGAUCUCAAGAGCCAUUCUGACAGCUAAAUGGCUAAUCUUCCUCAAAAUGGAGGUAACUAGCAGUGCCUAAUGCAGAACAAUGGGCUAGUAAUUUCCUACAUCUGACAAAUUUAGAAAAAGGAUUUUGUGCAGGUGUUUGGAUGUGUGCGUUUUAUGAUCCUGUCCUAAAACGGCACCGAGGAGAUCAAAGCCAUCACGGGAAGAAAUACGAUAAGACUAAAUACCCUGAAACAGGAGUAUUUUACCUUCUCUAUCCUAAUUGCACAUGCAAUGCAAGUGGCAGUAAAUUCUUAAGAUGGAGAGGGAUGUUUUGAAUUUCUGCAGCUUAUGUGGGGUAGCUGGGAACGGAUAGCUUUCAACUAUCAGAGUGAUGCAGUUGCAUGUGAAGCAAAGAGGGAAGCUCUGGCAUAAAGAAUGUCAUCAUUAAGGUGAAUGGAAACCAGGCUUGUUGUAGAAAGUGCCAUGCAUUUUUUAUACCCAUUUUACAGAUGGGUUCGUCAAGGCCGACUCCUAUGUUACAACUAUGGUUCUUUUCUUAGGACCCCCUUAGGAUCCAGAGAGCUCCAGAGCUGCGAUUUCUGCCCUCGUUAGAUAUAUAAUCAUAUGACGAUGCUCUAGAUAGAAAAACAACAACCCCUGACUUUUAUGAUGUGUGAAACUUGAGUGGAGUCAUGGACAGUUCUGCAAGUGGAGCCUGAGUUGGGUCAGAGGAUAUCCUUAUCAGAUGGAUCAGAUCUGGAAGGGAAGCCUAAAGAGUCAAAAGCAGGAAUGGCCAAACUUGGCCCUCCAGCUGUUUUGGGGGACAAAUCCCAUCAUCCCUAGCUAACAGGACCAGUGGUCAGGGAUGAUGGGAAUUGUAGUCCCAAAACAGCUGGAGGGCUGUUUGGCCAUGCCUGGUCAAGAGUAUGAGAGGACCCUCCAGAUGUGCUUUUUAUUGUGUACUAUCGGGGACUUGGUGCUGCCUGGGAAUUUUUAGAAACAAAAAAAAAUAUAUUGUGAUUAUUAAAUGGACCUGUCUUGCCAAAAAUCAGGUGAAGUCAUGCCAAAGUCACAUUUUGGUCCGCCAUCUUGAUACAAAAUGGUACCUGGUAUCCAAACAUCGAUGAAGACUGCCACUCCCACCCUGGGAACUUUCAUGCCUUGUUUGGUGACCAUAUCUAAAGAGGUGGAUGACCCUAAGCC